GAAUAUACACAUCAAAAAUACGUUGCUCUAAUAUUUUGUAGGCAUUAUCAGAAUCACGAGCAAAUAAAGUGAAGUUUGACGGUGUAGUUGACGUUCCUCAGGCAAAAGCCGUAGUAAGACAGCGACACUGGACAAAGGCGAGCUGCUUUGUACAAUGGUCCCAUAUCAGUUUCAAAUAUUGAGGACUCGCUUGUAGUGUUUCUUAUGCAAUCAAUUGGAUUGUUAAUGUCAUCUUCUGAGAAAUCUCCUGAACAAGCAUAAGCCCAUUUUCCAUUAGGAUCUACAUAAAAAUUUGAUGCUGCAUUAUCUCUAUUGUAAUCAAUCCCCUCAACAUGAGCUUCCACGCCACCGCAAUUUAUAAACAGAUUAUAAUACUCUUGAGAUUUUCCAUGACAAUACUUAUCUCUCAAAUUAAGUAUAGAACUCCUAUUUGGCUCGACAUUUAUCUUAAGC
rnacentral:misc_RNA from 1 species